rnacentral:rRNA from 1 species
GACGAACGCUGGCGGCGUGCUUAACACAUGCAAGUCGAACGGAAAGGCCCUGCUUUUGUGGGGUGCUCGAGUGGCUAACGGGUGAGUAACACGUGAGUAACCUGCCCUUGACUUUGGGAUAACUUCAGGAAACUGGGGCUAAUACCGGAUAGGAGCUCCUGCUGCAUGGUGGGGGUUGGAAAGUUUCGGCGGUUGGGGAUGGACUCGCGGCUUAUCAGCUUGUUGGUGGGGUAGUGGCUUACCAAGGCUUUGACGGGUAGCCGGCCUGAGAGGGUGACCGGCCACAUUGGGACUGAGAUACGGCCCAGACUCAUACGGGAGGCAGCAGUGGGGAAUAUUGCACAAUGGGCGGAAGCCUGAUGCAGCAACGCCGCGUGCGGGAUGAAGGCCUUCGGGUUGUAAACCGCUUUCGCCUGUGACGAAGCGUGAGUGACGGUAAUGGGUAAAGAAGCACCGGCUAACUAAGUG